UUAAUUGUUAUAAUGUGUAAUAAUUAUAUUAAGAGGACAUAUUAAUGUUUGUGGACGACAUCCGAUUGCCUACAUGUUUCAGGGUCAGUGUUCUAUCACCUUCAUCAUUAAUUAAUUCCAUCAUAAAUGAAGUUACAUCGUCGAUUGUUUGUAACUCAUUCGGAAUAUCAUUGCGCGCACCUUACAAUCGUUAGUGGAAAAUUGCAUCGCCCUGUCUUUCAAUGAUUUACUAUUAUGCUAAGGGAUUGUUUUGUUAUAAGCUGCGAGAAAAAACAAAAUGUUCACCCGAAGUUCUGUUACCUGUCAUUUAUGAUCUCUCUCUAAAAUCGUUUUUGCCUUUAUUAAACUAUAUCCCAUCUCUUAAAGGAGAAAAGAGACGACCCAGUUGACAAUCUGCAUUUUCGUAGCGAAUAGAAUAUAUAUCUGCAUUGCAUAUUUUCCACAAACGUUAUCAAAAUUCUUAUGAGAUUCAAGACAAGGAACUGGAUCGUUAUAUAUUAAUAUAUUCCUGAAUUCUGAAGAAUGAAAAUGCAGGACAUUAAUCGGUUGAACAAUUCUAACCCGACUGUUCAGACCGAUACAGAAACAGUUACACGGACAUUCAGCGACGAAAAGCCUUUAAUUAAUGAAUCUAAAGAAAGGUUAUUAGAUAAAAGGAAUAUUCUUGAAUAUCGCUGUGAGAUUUGUAGGAAAACAUUCUCUUCAGAACAUGAAGUUUUAACGCACAGAGAAAUACACAAAACAGAGAAACUAUAUCGAUGUGAAACGUGUGAGAAAGAUUUUGCUUCUAAUCGUUAUUUAAGGAAACACAAAAAAUUACACAGUGAAGAAAAACCAUAUCAGUGUGAAUUAUGUGAGAAAUCAUUCGUCUGUAAAAGUUAUUUAACAAAGCACAAACGAAUACAUACCGCGGAAAAAAAGUAUCGUUGUGAAACGUGUGAGAAAGCUUUCUUUGAUGAAUAUGAUCUUGUAGUUCACGUAAGAAUCCACACGGGAGAAAAACGGUAUCACUGUGAAAUAUGUGGUAAAUCUUUCUGUCAUCGUUCUACACUUAUACCCCAUCAACGAAUACACAGUGGGGAAAGGCCUUUUCACUGUGAUAUAUGUGGGAAAAGUUUUGUGAUCAAAUGUGAUUUAACAAACCACGUGAGGGUACAUACGGGUGAGAAACCCUACACCUGUGAUCUCUGUGGGAAAUCUUUUACCGUUAGCAGCCACUUAAAAUCCCACAGAAGGACUCAUACUGGAGAACGACCAUUCCGCUGUAAAAUUUGUGGGAAAUCUUUCAGUGAGAAUUCCAGCCUCGUGGUUCACCAAGGAAAACAUACUGGGGAAAAACCUUAUCGGUGUGAAAUAUGUGAUAAGUAUUUCGCUUCUAAUGGUAACUUAACAGCACACAGGCGCAUACACACAGGAGAAAGGCCCUAUCGUUGUGAAACGUGUGGGCAGUCAUUCAAAAAUAAUUCCCAUUUAAAGACUCACAAACGAAUCCAUAGUGGGGAGAAACCCUUCCGUUGUGAGACAUGUGGUAAAUGGUUCUCUGAUAGUUCUAAUCUUAUAGUUCACAAGAGGAUUCAUACUGGGGAUAAACGCUUCAUGUGUAAAACAUGUGGUAAUUCGUUUCCUGGGAGAUCAAGUCUUGCUAUUCACCAAAGAAUACACAGUGCAAUAAAACCAUGAAACUUUGAAAUCUGUGGAAAAUAUUUUGGAUCAAAAAAUGAUUAAAAAAAAGCACUUAGGAAUCCACGCUUGAGAAAAACCGUUCUAGUGUUCAUAUUCACAGUCACAUAUGCUGGCAUGGGUUGGACAGUUUGACAGGAGCUGACCAGAUGGAGCGCCAUCCAGGCCCCAAUUGUCUGCUUUGCCAUGGUUUCUAUGGCUGGAUGCCCUUCCUAACAGCAACCAUUUAACAAAUUGUUCUGGGUCCUUUUUACAUGCCAUCAGCAUUGGUGCAUCCAUGCAGCACCAGCACACGAACAUUUUACAUGCACAUGCAAGAUCAAAGACCUUAGCUGGAGUGGGCGGAGAGCUGGCAGCAACGUUAGCACGCCAGGCGAAAUGCUUAGUGGUAUUUCGUCUGCGGUUACGUUCUGAGUUCAAAUUCCACCGAGGUCGACUUUGCCUUUCAUCCUUUCGGGGUCGAUUAAAU